rnacentral:snoRNA from 1 species
ACCUCCUACAAAGGUGUGUCAGUGGUUUCCUGUCCUUGGACACGUAAGAAUUAGAGGCAAAAAGAUGUGUACUUGGAAAAGUCUAGAGCCCCCUUGCUCCCCACAGGCUCAAGAUCAUUCUUUCCCACAAAA